ensembl:lncRNA
CGUCCAUCAAACUGCUGUGAACUGUUGCCAAUGCUUAACUCCUAUAUUGAGCCUAAUUCCUUCUAUGAUUAAGGAGUGCAACUCCAAUCCAGGCAGCAUGCAACAAAACCAUUACUUGUCUGCUUUAUGGGUCCAAGGAUAAUCUCUAAUAUUUAUUCCUUUAUUGAAUCCACAGUCUGGUAAAUUAAUGAUUUACUUUAUAGGAAGAAGUUGCUAAGAGGAUUUUCCUAAGAAGUAUUUGCCUAAAGCUCCUACGGUGAAGUCUGAAUGGGAAGAAAGUACAGAAGGGAAAGUGUUCUCCUACCUAAGCAGGUAAUUUACCAGGAAAACAGCACUAGGGGAAACGGCACCCCAAAGACUUUCACACUGAAGCAUGUAUCUGUUGGCAUUUCCUUGGAAGAGACAGCAGUAAGUCAAAUUCCAGAGAACUCCCCCACUGAGGAGCUUUUUCCCCUGCACCAGUUCAUUACCAGCGUUUCAGUACUAACUGCUGUGUACACCUGCAAUGCCUCAGCAGCUAUACAGCACCCCCCAGUUUCUGAGCUCACAUAACAGGAGGACUGCAAAGAUUGCCAUGUAUAUAUAGCUGUAUUUGAGAUGGCCUACAUAAUUAUGUAUCCUUACUCAUGACAGACAAAGCAGUUGCCAAAGCCAGCAUAGGCCACAAAGAGUUGCAAAAGAGUCAAAGAUGAUAUAAGACUCCAGCCUCACCUCAGCCCUCAGAGUACAACAUGAAAAUCAACCCCAAAAAGGAGAGCACAGCCUUUGAGAUAUCUAUACUCUCCAGCCUUCUCAGAGUUUCAUAUUUUGAUGUUUUGAACUGAAGGAUCUGAUAAG